rnacentral:lncRNA from 12 species
AUGGUGAACAAUAAGACAUUGAUGGUGGUCGUCCUCCUAAGCAUCUUUGUGGCAGGAAGUCAAACAGAAGGAGAUCAAGACACUGGAUCACAUCAGAAUAAAGAUUCUGCAAUUGAAAAACUGACAGUUUUCCAAGAGCAGACCUUUAUUUCGGGCCGCAAUGUGACUUUACGAUGUGGCAAUCACACUGUUGUCAAGUGGAAUGAAUUCAUUUAUACCAUCUGGAACAUUAGCCUGCAAGAGAGAAAAUGUCGGCUUGGUUUGUCACCCAAGCUGGACGACACAUGCAAAGAUGGAAAGAAGCUGUACAACACUUCAGAUGGAGUUUCCAUAUUCAUUCCCAAGAUUUCAAUAGAAGAUGAAGGAUCUUACUUUUGUGAUGUAUCAUAUAAAGGAGGAAGCUAUUCACUAAAUGUGACUGUAAGCGUUACCAAUGUUUCCACCUGGCAGUACAACAAAAACAAUCAAAGAAUUGCUGUCUGUAAAUCCACAUAUAAAAUGAAAGCGCCCACUCUUCAUUGGGAACCUGCCUUGAACUUUUCCUCCAACAUCAGUUCUGUCAAGAAGCUUGGCAAGUUUUUUAUGCUGGAGAAUCAAGUAUAUCUGCCGGAAAAUCUCAUCAUCAGUGAGCUCGCUUGUGUGGCCACAUACACCUCUGAGUCCGGCCCUGUGCAGCAUAAAAGCACACUUCAUUUUACAGGUGAGCACACUGUACAUGAAAAAUAAUUCAGAAUUUAUUUCAUAAGUGGAUCAGUAUUAAAUUAUGUUCCUCUCUAGCUCAUUCAGGUUGGAUGGGGACCACUGGUCAAAAGACAUUAGCUCUCUCCAGAGAGGAUUGAUUAAGUUCAAGUCCAGGGUCUGAAUACUUAAAUACUAAAUUUGCAAAGUUAUCACAAAUCUUGUUUUUGCUUUUCUAUUAUGGAGUGUGUAGUGUAGACCGAUGUUGAAAAAAAAUAAAUAAUUUAAAGCAUUUUAGCAUAAGGUUGCAACAUAAAAUGUGAAAAAUAUUCAAGGGUUUGAAUAUUAUGUGAAUGCAUGGUAGCACUAUCUAUAGGGUUACUAACUUAAAGCUUAUAAAGUCUCUAGACGGUUUAACCAGCAGUGAUGCUGGAAAAGGCACCAGCAGAAGGAGGAAUCCACUGCAGGGAGGGUGCAUGACAGGACAUGUGCAUUUGUCCUUAUCAAACAGUGGCACUAGGCAGCUUUAAGACCAUAAAUAGUCAAAAACAUCAUGAUUAACUGUUUGCCACCAUUAGCAGAGAGCAUGCUCUGUGUAAGGACUUCUCAUUCUUUUCUCUGGUGUCAUUACAGGCUCAAACACACAUAACAUCUUGUCAAGAUACUGCUCAUCUAAAGUUUAUCACCAUGAGCAAAACUAAUUGAAUGAGGAUCAAUAUGACUGUGGUUUUUGUGUAUAACUGCCAGAUGUUUCAGAAAUGGUGUGUACAAUAGUCACUGUUAAGUCACAGACUUUCAUAAUAGAUUUAUUUUUUUUGGUAGUUUUUUAAGAAACAACAUGGCUGUUUAUCUUGUGUUGCAUGCCUGCAGUGGUAAUAAUGAGACUUUCAGGAGUAACAUAAAUGUGACUGCACAGCUUUCCACCUAUUCAUUGUUUAACAGAAAACUAGUUAAUCAUUAAGUAUUUUGAGCUUUUCCCCAUUUAAAUUUUGUCCUCUUUCUCCAACUAUGUCUGGGGCCCCAUAGAAAUAACAUUUUGUCUCAGAAUGAAGGAAGAAACACCCACAAAGAGAUGAAGAAAUAUGGACGAUACACAGGAUGUGAACAGCUAAAACAAACACGGCAAGUGGAUUGGAGGGUGUGCCUGUGAACUGCUGACAUUAUUUUAACACAGAGCAUCUUAAGAAUUACAGCAAACGCACCAAAUAGUGCAUUAAAAAGUUUCGUUUAUCCUCUUAGUUUUAUUUUGUCUGAAAUGAAGAGGCAAUUACAUUUUUAUUUGGCCUCUGAGUUAUCAAAAAAAUAAAGUCCAAACAUUUUGCUUGUGCUAUUUUUCUUUUGUAUAAAUGCCACUCAAAUUGAUAUUUUGUUAUAUAAUGCAAUGUCAUUUAUAAAGUGUGGGACCCAAAGGAUCCAAAUGUUUUUGGGGCAAUUGUAAAACUAGCAGUUACAUGAAGAUGUCGCACAAAUGUCACAAAGUCCACAAAUCUUUUCUUAAAGAAAUAAGAAUGGAACUGAGAUGCAUAAAACACACUGUUCCAAAAACUACUGAGGCCUCCUGUUACCCUUUAUUUAUCGGUAAUCUGUUGUGAUUUCAUUAUUUGCACUUAUGCAAUAAAUUCCAAAGCCAUCAUUGUGUGUUUGCAAGAGAGAGUGAAAGAGAUUAUAUCUAUUCAGACUGAGGUCAGGUAGCAGCAUUACUCACCAGACAGCUCACCAUCAGCACUUUAUUUAACUUGUAUUGAUGAACUCAUUCAUCCUAACAUUUCAAACCCUGCACCCAUUACCCACUGCCUAAAAACCAACUCAGCUGAGUCUGAACCAUGAGCAUAACUGCAUAUUAUUAUUCUACAAAACUGAGGUUAUUGUGGUAUACUGUAGUGCUUAGUAAAGUGAGCUAGCAGUGACUGUAGUCCAGGACAUUGUGACUUUAUGGAAGGUCAUGAGAUUCACCGAAGACGAGCCCAGGAUUGUUUAUACUGAAAGGGCCUGAACAUUGGGUUUACAUCAUGGGAAAGCUGGAUUCAUUAAUUCAUGGCAGCCUUCUAGAAAAAAAUAGACACAUUUUCUGAAAUCACAUGCACUCAAUGACCACUCUUUAGCCUCUUUCACACAGCAAUACUGGUAAAUUGCUGUAAAAUUAUCAUAACGACUUUACUGGUAAAUACAAAGAUGUGCUGUUCACACAGGCAACGACGUUCCGUCUUUUUUUCCGGUAAAACGCCAUUCACACAUCAGUUUCAAAAUACCAGUAAAUUCUGUGACAUCAUUAACUGGAAUUGACUCCUAAAUGGCUGCACCUCCCCGGUGUUCUGUUUGUAAACAUUUUUUUAACAUUUUACUUUUUCAGUCUUGUGUCAAAUGUUCACAUUCAUGCAGUUGUUUUUGGCCCAGAAACAUCGUAUUAGAUUACUUCAAACCAAACUACACAGUGCAGAGUAAAUGCAUCAUCUGCGUCAGAAUGUAAUGAUUGGUCCAGAGUAGACGUCUUACGUCAGUGCGUUCUAAACUCGUACGUGUUCAUACUGGUAAUCUCAUUCUGCGUACACACAGAGCGCAUUACCGGUAAUGUUACAACUUCCCAUACCGCUAAAUUGCCUUAACAAAUUUACCGGUAUUUUGAAAAGGUCCUGUUCACACACGAUUUCUUAAUGGUAUUUACUGGUUAUUUAUCAGUAAAGACUGUGUGUGAAAGGGACAUUUGUCAAAUUCCUGCAGCUGCUUCAGAGUUGCUGUUGGUCACCUCUCUGUUUCCUCCUGACUCUUUCAUCCAGUUUGGAGCGACGUCCUGAUCCAGGGAGGGUCUGUACCAAAUACCUUCCACUUCUUAAUAACAGACUUCACUGGGCUUCUAGGCAUUGAUAAAGCCUUUGACAUUUUUUUUGUAUCCAUCUCCUGACUUGUGUCCAUCCACAACUUUAUUCCAGAGAUCUUUUCAUUCAGAGUUGAUUGUUUGCUUCACUUGCACUACCAAGAACUGAAAUGCUCCAGGAAAGCCCUUUUCAUGUUGAGUUGAUCAAAAUGACCACAGCUGAAUGUCAAAUGGCUUUGUGUGCCAUUGAGAAGGUGAUAAGCUGCACCUGAUUGAGUUCACAAGUAAUUUUUGAGGGGGGUGAUCCUUUUUACAGCCCUUUUUCUCACUUGGGUGUUAUAAGUUGCACUGAGUAAAUACAGCUGGAUAAAACAAAAACUGUGUCCCUCUUCAUUUUAGGCUGCAAAACAAAAAAUGUGAUUAUUUUAGGGGGGGGGUUCUUUUUUACCCACUGUAUACCCACACACACAUGUCUCUCUCUCGCUAUGUCUCUCUAUACUUUUAAGUACUGAGUAACAUUAAUUACAUACUACAUGAUUAGGGUUAGGACGAGGGUUUGGUUUAGGAGAAGUUGCAUAUAAUAAUGCAUAACUUAUUGUUGUUACUAUAGUAAGUACAUGUACGUGCAGCAACUCCAUACAAUAAAGUGUUACCAUACAUACACACAUCUAUCUAUCUAUCUAUCUAUCUAUCUAUCUAUACUGCCAUUCAAAAGUUUGGGAUCAGUAAGAUUGCUGAUGUUUUUAGAAAGAAAAGUAUCCUGAAGAAUCCUGAAAAAAGUUGUCUAAAAAGAGUUUACGCAAAACCUCACUUAUGACUACACCUCAAUUCUUGACAUUAACUUAAUGUGGAAAGUAACCUAAUUUGUCCAAUCUCUGAAUUCUCCAUUGACACUGAAAUGCGUAAGAGGUUUUUUUACGACACCACUUGGGUCAGAGAAGUGAAGACAAGGAUACUCGACUUUACGCUCGUUUCUCCUCUCAUUUGCAAAUCAUGAUAUUUUAGUCAUCUGACAUUUUUACUGCUAAUAACACAGAUGUACAAAAAAUACCUUUACCUUUUUCAAAGGUCAUCCACAACUGUUAAAAAUAUAGGAUAAGUCAUUAGGAUUUCUCUUCGGGGGUGCAACUGAAACAAGGAAUCCACAAUAAUACACUCAAGUGAAAAGAAUAUCUACAUGAUGUGCCAGUAAACAACUCAGCUGAGGAUAAACAACAUUACGAGCCUCAUUGCCUCAACAUAAGUGACCCCUGCAGGGCAUUCUUGUGUUAGAAGAACACAACUACCCUUUUCACCUUUCAGCACAAGAUGUGAAUUAUCCAAGCAGCUAAAAUUCAAUGUCUUAAUGAGUUAUUUAUAUAUAUUAAAAACUACAGGGAUUCACAUGUGUUUAGAUCGAACGACAGUAGGCUACACUAUUUAUAUUUAAUAAUUAAGCUCAAAUUGAAGAUUGACAAGAAGGGAGAAACACAAAAUAACACAUUUGUUGCAUUAUACCUCAUUUGACGUAUAUAUGCAGAUGAUUCUGUAAGGAUGUUUUGAGAUUUUGCUGUCAAGUGAUCUACAUAGCAAACACAAUAUAACAAAGAAAAAAAUGCUUUGUUAAAAUUAGCUAUGCAGCCAAUCUUCUAAUAAAUAAAUACAUAAAUCUGAAUGCAAAAAUCCCAGUUCAUUUAAUUUUGCAAGAUAUUAUAAGACACUAUAACUCUCUGAGCACUCCAAACACACACACACACACACACACACACACACACAAAUGGAAGAUUAGCCUAGCCAACUAGUCUAGAAAACAUGUUUCUCCUGUCUUUUCAUGCUACCAAAGGCCACCAAGCGUCUUCAAAGUGCAACAAUAUGCAGACAUUGCGCGACCCUGUGGCAAACGUUAAAAGGAUUGGCUCAUGAAUAUUAAUUGACUUUUGCGUACCGAGACACUCUAUUGGAUGAUAGUGGAACCACGUCACAGUGAGGCAAUUCAUUUUCAUGAGCUAGGUCUCCGCCACAGAAGCGUCACUGGUCCUGCACAACUCACUACAACACUUAUCUGAAUAACUUUUCCAGCAGCCCAGACUUUUAUUCUUUAAAAACUAUCAUAAGAUAAUAUAACUAUUAAGAAACAUAUUCAUAGUGCUCUACCAGCC